rnacentral:rRNA from 1 species
GACGAACGCUGGCGGCGUGCUUAAUACAUGCAAGUCGAACGGAAAGGCCCUGCUUUUGCUUGGUGCUCGAUUGGCGAACGGGUGAGUAACACGUGAGUAACCUGCCCUUGACUUUGGGAUAACUUCAGGAAACUGGGGCUAUUACCGGAUAUGAUCUCUUGCUGCACGGUGUGGGUUGGAAAGUUUCGGCGUUUGGGGAUGGACUCGCGGCUUAUCAGCUUGUUGGUGGGGUAGUUGCGUACCAAGGCUACGACGGGUAGCCGGCCUGGGAGGGUGACCGGCGACAUUGGGACUGAGAUACGGCCCAGAAUCCUACGGGAGGCAGCAGUGGGAAAUAUUGCACAAUGGGCGGAAGCCUGAUGCAGCAACGCCGCGUGCGGGAUGACGGCCUUCGGGUUGUAAACCGCUGUCGACUGAGACGAAGCGUGAGUGACGGCAAUGGGUAAAGAAGCACCGGCUAACUACGUG